rnacentral:siRNA from 1 species
CUCUGCAAAGAGCUGUGUUGGUC